ensembl:lncRNA
CUCAACUUAAUAAGGAAAGAAAAAAAUUAUAUGCAGAGGUGGCUAAGAUCCACAGUAACUUUUAUCACAUAAUAUCAUUAUGAUUGUUCUACUUUAUUAUUAGUUACCGUUGUUAAUCUUGUACAGUGCCCAAUUUACAAAUUAAACUUUAUCAUAAGCGUGUAUAUAUAUGAAAAAGCAUAGCAUAUGUAGAGUUCAGUCUAUCCUCGGUUUCAGGAAUCCGCUGGGGGUCCUGGAACGUUUCCCCUGUGGACAAGGGAGGUUGCCGUACAAAAUCCAGUGUCAUUUCAUAUAUUCACAAUUUUGCGCAACCAUUACCACUCUCCAGUUCCAGAACAUUUUCGUCACCACAAAAGGAACCCCUGUACCCUUUCAGCAGUCACUCCCUCCUCUCCCCCGCCCCUAGCAACCACGAAUCUUAUUUAUAUCUCUACAGAUUGGCCUAUUCUGAACAUUUACUAUAAACGGAAUAAUACAAUCUAUGGUCUUUUGAGUCUGGCUUCUUCCACUUAGCAGAAUGUUUGCAAGAUUCAUCCAUGUACCAUGUAUCAAUACUUUACUCUUUUCUAUGGCUGAAUUGUAUUCCAUUUCGUGGAUAUACCACAUUUUUUUAUCCAUUCGUCUAUUGGUAGGCAUUUCAAUUGUUUCCACUUUUUGGCUGUUAUGAAUAAUGCUGCCAUGAACAUUCAUAUGCAAGUUUUGGUGUGGACAAGUGUUUUCAAUUCUCUUGGGUGUAUGCCUAGGAGCAGAAUUACCGGGUCAUAUGGUAACUCAGUGUUUAACAUUUUGAGGAAUUCCCUGUUUCAAAGACUGCAUGUUUUUCUAUUGAUAUCAUCCUACAUCUGCUUUUUCCACUCACCAUUACAUUUUGGAGAGUCUUCCAAUUUAAUAUUUAGCUGUGGUUCAUCUAUUUCAAUGGUAGUAGAGAUGCCCUUGCAUGAACAAAACACUGUUCACUUGUCAUUCCCCUAUUGAGGGAUAUUUAGGCUAUUCCUCGUUUUCUACUACCAUAGAUAACACUGCCAAGAAGGGGGUUUCAUAGGUUUCAGUGUAUGGACCAAAUCUGCAGAGCAAGAGACCCUCACAGACCACUCACUGUACCCAUUCUUAGUUGACAGCCCCCCAAAUCUCCUAGGGUGAUGGUGCUGGGUUGUAGGUGGAGCACUGAAGUGAGCGAGCUGAAGAGAUGCGUCAGACCACGCCCCCAAAAUAACUAAAGCUCUCAGGGCAGAGGGUGGCCCGCCUAUGAUUAUUCCCAGUUAUUGGCUGCCCUCCCUGGGAGAGGAUUAUCCAUCCCUACUCCCUGCUCGGCUACCUGCGGUGCCCGCUUGGAGGAGGGCAGUACAGUCCCUGCCCUGCCCCCACCCCAGACACCAAGCUUGGCAAUGUGAUGGGCGUAGCCUCCGGAUGUGAGUGGUAACGAUGUCAGCCAUCCCUGCCUCUUCCCUCUGGCACAGGAGUGGCACAUCCCAGAUGUGAGGUCAGCUUCCUCAGCCUGGACCCUGGAAUGAAAAGACACAGGAGCAGAGCCACAACUGGUCCACAGGGACCCACAAAGAAAGCAAAGCCAACCCCUAUGGCUGUAAGCCUCUGCCAGGUUGUUGAUGUUCAUCAUCGUAGAAUAACUUAGCAAAAGCUAAUGCAAGGGGUCUCUUUCUUGUCUUUACCCCAAAUGAGCUAUCUGCAGUUUUGACCUGAACGUCCACUGGCCUAAUUUUUAAACCCUCUUACGCAUCAUUCCAACUAAAAUGCAUUUGCUGAGUUCGGACUCUGCUCAUUAUCUAUCCUAAAGCAUGGGAUUGAAAACUUGGAAAAUAAUAACAAUAGCUCACGUUCAUGAGUUUCUGCUCCUGGCCAGGCCCUGGCGCCAGCGGCAGGUCAUCUGUCCUCAUGUCACCCCAAGGCGGCGAACAUCACCACUAUCUACUUUUUAUUGAUGAAGAAAUGGAUGCUUCGAGGUAUUAAGCAACUGUCCUCAGGUAACACUUGAUCCAGCAAGAGGCAGCUGGAGGAACUGAACCUGAGCACGCGCACGCCGCUGGUCCUAUAAGACGCACAGCCCACCUCCUAUGAGCUCACAGACGCGCGGUGGAGAAAACGUCCUCCUGUGCCGCCACGGCUGUUUGUCUGUGCCCAGAACUCGGCAAAGGCAAGCCAGGCAGACAGACACAAUUCCUACCCUGGGGGAGAUGAUGACACAGAAAAAAAUUUUUUUUAAAUACUAAUUUCAUUCGAUGAAUAUAAAACAUCCAGAUUAGGCAAAUUCAUAGAGACAGAAAGUAGAUUAGCAGUUGCCAGGGGCGCGGGGUGGGAGCACGGGAAGGGACCGCUUAAAGUGUGUGAGGCUUCCUUUGGAGAUGAUGAAAAAUGUCUGGAACCAGACAGCAGUGAUGUUUGAGCAGUAUUGUGAAUGCGCUAAAUGUCACUAAUGGUAAAAUGUAUGCUAUGGGGUUUUAACCACAAUAAAAAUAGAACUAACUGUGUACAUGGGUAUCAUUGCAAUGAGUGCUGUAAAGAAAGCCUCUAGGGAGCUAUCAAGCCACAGGACGGGAGGCCUGCCCUGGUCUGGGGGAUCAGGGCUCCUCCUCAGAGGAACCCACUGCUGCCCCAAGGUCUCAGUGCCCUGGCGGAGACCCAGCAGGGGCAGGUCCCCACAUAUCGGGCCCCCGGGAGCACUGCAGACCCCGCUCCCAGCAGUUCCCACAAUUCAUAAUUACUUACUCAUGUGCAGGACGCCUUGUUAAUAACUCUUUUGCCCACUGGAAAGCAGACAUUGAUUUAGUCAGUCACCAGGUACAUUUCAAGCACAGAGCCCGUGGAGACAUGGUGGUGGGAACAGUGACAGAGUCCCUGCCCUAAGGGGGCUCCGAGCCUAGAGGAGGCACGGAUGAUGAGCAAGAAAUCAGCUCAAGCAGACUGCUGUGUGGGAGCCAGCGAAGGAAGCAAAACGAGCCCCAGAGAGAGAGAAGAGGCAGGCACCAUGGAUCCGGCCAGGUGCUGGGAAGGAAAGGAGUGAGCCAUGCACGGAGCAGGGAGAAGGGGCUCCAGCAGCAGGAACAGCAGGGACAAAGGCCUGGAGGCUGAAAAGCGUUCGGCACACUGGGGUGAUCGACAGGAGGCCCCCAAGGAUGGACUGUCAGGGGAGGAAAUCCACAGAGCUUGGAUGCAGGGGAGGGUGUGUAUCUUUUCUCUGCUGAAAAGGGAGCAUCUGGCACAGUGUCUCUCAUGCAGUACGUCUGUACUGGGAGGGAUGGAGGACAGAGAAGCUGUUCCUGCGAGCUGCAAGAUCUGGAUUCCAGUCCCAGGUCUCUUCCCACUUGCAUUACGACCGACCUCAGGCAAACCCCAGCACCUCUCUGGGCCUCAGUUUCCUCAUCUGUAGAAUGAAGGGUGAGAAACCAAAGAUCUAGCAGGGGCUGCCAUGUCUGUCCUUCCGCUCGUAUGUUGGCGAACUCCCAUGGCCUCUGCCAACAGCCCAGCCACAGGGUGUCCUGAGAAAUGGAAGAUGAGUGCAGAGGGGAGACCAGAAGCUACGCCUUUCUCACAGAAGCCCUCGCCACCCCGCUCCACAGGGAGCUCCCGGCACCUGGUCAGCCCCGUUCCUGCAGGAGGUCGGGAAGCCAGCCAAAUGCAUCCUGAAGACCCUACUCAGAGACUCUGGAGUUGGAAGAAGGGACCGUGGGGGGUCUCUGUGCAGCCCCCAGGAAAGGAGGCUCACCUUUGCCAGACAACUGGCCUAAUAGAAAGUUCUUUCAUUGAGCUGAAAUCUGCUUCUUGGAGAGUCCACCCCCGGCCUUCAUUCUUCCCUGAGGAGCCCACAGGUCCCUUUCUCGCUCCUGAAGAAAGCACAGACCUUGGAGCCACAGGCCUGCGUCUGCAACAGACCUUGCAACUGUGAAUGGCCGAUUACAUCCUUCGUGUAAGAUGAAGAUGAUGCUACUGAUGCUGCUGUUGUUAAUAUUAUUUUAGAUGAUGCCUCUUAGUGCUUACUACAUGCCAGACAAUGCUCUAAGCGGCUUUAUUUCACUUUAUUAUCACAAACAACACUGUAAGAUUGGUACUUUAUCCUCCAUUAUACAGAGAAGGAAAGUGAGGUUCAGAGACGCUAAGUAACCAGCCGAAGUUCACACAGCAAGGAAGUGACAGAAUCUGGGCGUGUAGCAGUGUCUGCCUCUCCAAGUCAUUAGCAGAACCAGCUGAGCUAGAUGACCUAGAUGAGAUCAGCAUAACUAACCUUCCCCAAGUCCUUACUGUGCUGAGCACUUGUGGUGAGCAGAAUAACAGCCCCUCAAAGAUGCCCCCAUUCCUAGUCGCUGGAGCCUGUGAAAAAUAUUACUUUACUUGGCAAGAGGGACUUUGCAGAUGUGUGUAAAGUUAAGUACUUGGAGAUGGGCGGUUAUCCUGGAUUCCCGGUGUCUAACCUGGAUCGUCAGUCCAAAUCACGCGUGUCCUUGAGAGCCGAGUCCCUCUCCAGGCUAUGUUCAGCCAGUGUGUGACCGUGGAAGAAGAGAUUCCAACAAACGCGCUCUCCCCGCCCCCGUUUCCUUAUGACCGUCUCUUGGCUUUUAUGUUUAGUGCUGUGGCAGCCGGAAGUCAGUUCUUCAGAAGGAAGCCUCACCAGCAGCCCAGGCCCGGUCCACGGAGACUCGAAAGUCAUCGGUCAAGGUGCAGCCGGGACGCGGAAAUUCUUCAAAGCUGCCCAGGGAUUCUAACGGGCAGCCCAGCUUGCGAACCACAGCCCUGAAAGCUUCUGCCCUGCUCCUCUCCACACGCCAACGAGCAACGCCAACCGAGGGUGCUCCUUGCAAAACAAGGGAGGGAUAAGUGGGGCCGGCGGUGUUAAUUUCAUCAUCUUUGUCCUCUCCUAAAACAUGACCUUUGGGUUUAUUCAGCCAAUAAAAAUUUGUGAAUUAUGCACUGUGUGUCAGACAUGCCCCGUGGAUCCAACAGUGGACAGAGGGCCUGUUCCUGCCCUCAGGGAGCACGCAGUCUAAUGGGGUAGGGGGAGGCGGGGGCACAGACAGACCAUGACAACAAAGAGAAGUUGCAGUGCCGUGGGCAUUUCUGUGGUGGGAACUGUGGGGGCCCAGAAACCAGGAUGAAGUCACGGUUCUCAGGAAGGGUCGUAUCUAAGCUGACGCCUGAAGGAUGAGUAUGAGUUGGUCAUACAAAGAGACAGAGAGAAAAGUUUCCAAGAGAAGGGAAAGGCACAUACAAAGUCCUAGAAGCAAGAGAGAGGGGUGGAAUAUUCAAGUUACCAACAUCCACCCACCAAGGAAGAGACGGGCCUUCUGUGCAGGCCGGGAGAACGUGUGAGUGAAGAGCCUGGUUUCCUAAACCCCAGGGAAAAUGAUCUGCAGUCAGUGGACUGGCUUCUGUUGGAAGGCGGACAGUAAACAAACCAGGGUUGGUCAGGUGUGGUGUCUAGAAAAGGAAGGACAAGGCAGAGUCACCCAAGACUACCCAGAAAGUGUCUGGGUCUCCCGAUCUCGGCGCACUGGGCUCCUCGACAGAGGUGUGCUCCCCCGCUCACCUCACUUGGAAGGGAAGCUGCAGAGGGCUCUGGGCACAUGGACCCAGUGGUCCUGCCAACAGCCCCCGAGGGGCUCUGUGGUACACACUUCUGUGCUUCCCGGACGAGGAGACAGAGGCGCCAAGAGGUUACGCAACCUGCCCUAGGUCCCACAGCUGGCAAGUGAGGCAGCUGAGAUGGCAGGCUACACAGGCUGCCUCCUGUGGGUGUGUUCUCUUAGGCACAGUGCCUUAUUGGCUGCCGAGCAAAAAAAACACACGCACGCUUUCUCACUCUCCUUGCUCCCAUCCCAGCAUUACCAUUCAACCUGUGGACAAGCAUAGCUGCGGGGAACAAAAUACUGCCACCCAGCAAUCCCAGCACAGUCCAGAUCACAGAGAGGGUGGGUUCUCAUUGGAAAUUGAUCCCUUGGGAUCAAGUGUAUAGAUAUAGAGAUAGAUAUAGAUGAUAUAGAUAGAUAUGCGGGUAUAUAUAUGUAUGCACACAGACAUAUAUAUACAGGGUGGGUGUGUGUGUAUAUACCUAAAUACCUGUAUACACACCUAUACAUCUAUAUCUAUAUGUAUAUACCAUUCUUCCUGUGUUGGUUGGUCUGACUCUGGAGCUGGGCGAAACUGAUUUCACAUUCUACCCCUAGUCACCAUGAGCUGUAUUGUCCUGGGCAAGUCAGAAACUUCCUGAGCCUCCAUGUCCCCGCUUACAAAGUGAAGAGAUGGCAAUGCUCAACCUAUGGGGCUACUGCAAGGAGGAAGCAAGAUGGUAUGUGUACAGCCCCAAGCGUGUGCCUGGCAGAGGGACAGAGUCCAGUCAAGGGAAGCUGUGUGAUUUUCAUUCUCAGUGGGCUGCCCCUGGGGUUUCUGAGCUCACACAGCUGAGGGCUGAGGCCACCAGCCCCUUCAUGGCACUGUCACCAGGAUGAUCGCCACUUCUUGGGUACCAGUCUGGGUGUCAGCAACCUCAUGAGGCUCAUUCCCCUCUCUCUCCUCCCUUCUUUGGGCACCUCAAGGAUUAGAAUCUCCGCCCCCACAAUGCGUGUGAGAACUAAAUGAGACAGGUGCAUUCAUUUGCCAGGGCCUCAUAACAAAGUACCAUACACUGGCAGCUUAAACAACAGAAAUGUAUUUCCUUACAGUUCCGGAGGCCAGAGGUCCAAGAUCAAGGUGUCGGCAGGAUUGGUUCUUUGUGUAGCUUCUCUCCUUGACUUACCGAUGGUCGUCUUCUCCCUGUGUCUUCACAUGGUUCUCCCUCUGUGUGCGUCCAUGUCCUAAUUUCCUCUUCUUAUAAGGACACCAGUCAUAUUGAACUAGGGCCCACCCUAAUGACCUCAUUUUACAUUUGUUAUCUCUUUAAAGACCGUAUCUUCAAAUACAGUCAUAAUCUGAGGUACUGAGGUACACAUGCAUUUGGAGGGGACACCAUUCAGCCCAGAGCAUCAGUUACAUAAUGUUCCUGGUGAAGACGUUGGCAUAUAGUAAGCACCUAGUAAGUGAUGACGAGGGUAAGGGUGAUGCUGGAAAUCAUGACUCUCGACAGACUAGGAACCACUGCAACAGGGUGACCAGCCACAGCUCAGUGCCCAUGGAGAAGUCCCUCUGGGUCAAGGAGAAGACCUGGGAUUUGGGAGGCCAUGCAUCCUAAUCCUUGCAGGGUGUCCUGUCCAAAACGUCCAUAAGACAUUAGGUCCACGCCAAAAGGUCCUUGAGCUUUGGUCCUGUCCAAAAUGUCCAUGAGCAUAUUUGGUCCAUGCCAAAUGGUUUUGGACAGGACCAAAUGUCAAGAACCUUUUGGCAUGGACCUAAUGUCUCCAUAGACAUUUUGGACAAGAAUAAAUAUGACCAAAUAUCAAGGACCUUUUGGCACGGACCAAAUGUCUUAUGGAUGUUUUGGACAGGACCAAACGGCUGAUGAUCUCACCGAAUAAAUUCAUGUAUCCAUUGACUUUAGAGUUAGAACCACAUGGGUUCGGCCCCUCAUGACAGCACUCACCAGCUGGUUGGAGACCCUGAGCAAAUUGCUAAGCAAACCUAGCGAGCCUCAGCUUCCCUCACGUAUGCAGGUAACAACUGACAAGGGCCUGGUAGUGAGAGGGCCCCAGGACACGCUCUUCUCCGUCUGUGAGCAGGAAGACCAGGCUUCCGGUCACAGUUUGGCCAUCUACCAGUGACAAUAGUGGACAAGCCACUCUCAGGGGCUCAGUCUCUUCAGUUCUUGACUGGGAAUGAUAAUCCCAACCUCACGGGGUUGUCGUAGGGUGGAAAUGAGUCAAGGUGUGUGAAAGCGCUUUGUAAACUGCAGAGUGCUCUGUACAGGUCAGCUGUUGGCCUCCUUUCAGGAUGCAACACUUCAGAGGUUUUUAUGAGAGGGCACUCACACCCACACACCCGAUUCCAAGAAAAACGCAAGAGGAGGGGGCCCUGUGGUUUCAUCCUUCAUGACUCACAGAGGCCACUCCUGCCGAGUAUUCAAAUCCUGUGGCUAG